UGGGGAAUAUUGCACAAUGGGCGCAAGCCUGAUGCACCCCCGCCGCGUGAGCGAUGAAGGCCUUUGGGUCGUAAAGCUCUGUCCUUGGGGAAGAAUAAAUGACGGUACCCUUGGAGGAAGCCCCGGCUAACUACGUGCCAGCAGCCGCGGUAAUACGUAGGGGGCAAGCGUUAUCCGGAAUUAUUGGGCGUAAAGAGUGCGUAGGUGGUUUUGUAAGCGCGGGGUGAAAGGCAAUGGCUCAACUAUUGUAAGCCCUGUGAACUGCAAGACUUGAGUGCAGGAGAGGAAAGUGGAAUUCCUAGUGUAGCGGUUAAAUGCGUAGAUAUUAGGAGGAACACCAGUGGCGAAGGCGACUUUCUGGACUGUAACUGACACUGAGGCACGAAAGCGUGGGGAGCAAACA
rnacentral:rRNA from 1 species